rnacentral:piRNA from 1 species
UAGUCGUCUUCUAGGAUGUUGUCGGGGU